rnacentral:rRNA from 1 species
UACGAAGGGGGCUAGCGUUGCUCGGAAUGACUGGGCGUAAAGGGCGCGUAGGCGGUUCGUACAGUCAGACGUGAAAUUCCCGGGCUCAACCUGGGGGCUGCGUUUGAUACGUGCGGGCUUGAGUUCGGAAGAGGGUCGUGGAAUUCCCAGUGUAGAGGUGAAAUUCGUAGAUAUUGGGAAGAACACCAGUGGCGAAGGCGGCUCACUGGCCCGUAACUGACGCUGAGGUGCGAAAGCGUGGGGAGCAAACAGG